rnacentral:rRNA from 1 species
GGCUUACACAUGCAAGUCGAGCGGUAACAUUUCUAGCUUGCUAGAAGAUGACGAGCGGCGGACGGGUGAGUAACGCGUAGGAAUCUGCCUAGUAGUGGGGGACAACAUGUGGAAACGCGUGCUAAUACCGCAUACGCCCUACGGGGGAAAGGAGGGGAUCUUCGGACCUUUCGCUAUUAGAUGAGCCUGCGUGAGAUUAGCUAGUUGGUGGGGUAAAGGCCUACCAAGGCGACGAUCUCUAGCUGGUCUGAGAGGAUGAUCAGCCACACUGGGACUGAGACACGGCCCAGACUCCUACGGGAGGCAGCAGUGGGGAAUAUUGGACAAUGGGCGCAAGCCUGAUCCAGCCAUGCCGCGUGUGUGAAGAAGGCCUUAGUGUUGUAAAGCACUUUCAGGAGUGAGGAAGGGUGUACGGUUAAUACCCGUAUAUUUUGACGUUAACUCCAGAAGAAGCACCGGCUAACUCUGUGCCAGCAGCCGCGGUAAUACAGAGGGUGCGAGCGUUAAUCGGAAUUACUGCGCGUAAAGCGC